CCUACGGCGGCUGCAGUGGGGAAUAUUGGACAAUGGGCGAAAGCCUGAUCCAGCCAUGCCGCGUGUGUGAAGAAGGCCUUCGGGUUGUAAAGCACUUUCAGUGGGGAAGAAAGCCUUGGGGCUAAUACCCUCGAGGAAGGACAUCACCCACAGAAGAAGCACCGGCUAACUCCGUGCCAGCAGCCGCGGUAAUACGGAGGGUGCGAGCGUUAAUCGGAAUUACUGGGCGUAAAGCGCGCGUAGGCGGUCUGAUAAGCCGGUUGUGAAAGCCCCGGGCUCAACCUGGGAACGGCAUCCGGAACUGUCAGGCUAGAGUGCAGGAGAGGAAGGUAGAAUUCCCGGUGUAGCAGUGAAAUGCGUAGAGAUCGGGAGGAAUACCAGUGGCGAAGGCGGCCUUCUGGACUGACACUGACGCUGAGGUGCGAAAGCGUGGGUAGCAAACAGGAUUAGAUACCCGAGUAGUC
rnacentral:rRNA from 1 species